CUCAGACAAUAGAAACCUCCAACGGAGUUUAUGUAUGUCACUUCCCAUGCCCGUGCAAAUUAGACCCAAAAAAACCCAAGCAAACAAUAGAAAUAAAAGUUCCGGCAACAGAAAUUCCCGACAGAUCUUGUUCAUGUUUUGGUGAACUAUCGUCGGAUUCGAUCAAUCGCCAACAAGAGCCAAAUGACCCCAGGAUAUCACCAAGACCGGCGAUAGAAAAGCCAAAGCAAACAACAAAACCUGACGGAAUUCGUUCAUGUUUUGGCAAAUCGUCAU